rnacentral:lncRNA from 1 species
AUGCAUUAUUUGAAGAGUCUAGCAUUGGUGACCACUUUCCCUUUUUUCAAAAAAAAAAACAAAAAAGGGAGCUGGGAAACACACCGCAUCUCUCUAACCUUUCCUGCUGCUCAAGCUGGAAUGUCCCCAAAGUCUCGGACCACGGGCGCUACACCACAUCCCCCAGCUAUAUCCUCUCCGGCUGUGCCACGGCAGCUGAAAGGCUCCAAGAAGGCCACGGAAAAAGGAAGCUCUGCACCACCCACCUUCAAGGAAGGCUAUCUCUUUGAGGCUCCCUGCCAGCUGACACGGGCCACCAACUGUGGACAAAGGGAGCUCUCGAACACCCACCACCUCCCUAACCUCCCAUUUUGUCCCAGGCAGCUGCACGGCCCCCACUGCUGUGGGGAAAGGACGCUCCACGCCACCCAGCCACUCUGCAAACGGCAACAACAGGACCAUGCCCAAAGCCCUGGACAAAGGGAGCCUCUCACAAGCCAGCUCUACAACCUGUCAGCGUCUUCCCGGGGAGCUGCAAAUCCACAUGGUGAGGACACAGAAACCAGGCCGACUCCCUCCCUCUUCUCAGAGGUUCCCUGUCUGGUGCAAGCUUCCCACACGCAUCAACAGAGGGGCCUCCGCAGCUUCAACCGCUUCUCUAACACAUCAUCUUCUUCCUUGAAGGCACACCAAGGGACUCCACGGACAUGGAAAAGAGGGGCUAUGCACCACCCAGCAUCUUGCCCACCUCUCAAGGUAGGCAGAGAGACCUUCAACUUGCCCAUAACUGUGUCUCACCCAGCCACGGGACCAACAAGACACCUCUCAAACUUGUCAUUCUCUUCCAGGCUACCGCAACGGCUCGACAGAAUUGGACAAAGAGAGCUGAGAAAAAAAUGCUUCUCUGGAACCCCUCCUGGUGUGAAAGAUGGCAGAUGGAAGGUCCCCACGGCUCAGGACAAAGGGCGCUCCACGCCACCCAGACACUCGGUAAUCACGCAUAAGCUCAGAUGA